rnacentral:sRNA from 1 species
AUGGUGAUCUUUCUUCAAGAAUCCAUCUUUGGGGCUUGAAAAGCUUGGGGGGCUUGGAGAGAGGGAAACCUCCUCCAAAAAAAUUCCAAAAGUUUGCCUGUGCUUAGCCAUGACCAAUCAGAAUCUGCUUUUGAAGCAAGCUCAGUGUUUGGCUAAUGCCAUGGCAGACCGGCAAGUCACAGAAAGGCAACAGGCCCUGUUCAUGGGUAUU